GACGAACGCUGGCGGCGUGCUUAACACAUGCAAGUCGAACGGAAAGGCCUCUUUCGGGGGGUACUCGAGUGGCGAACGGGUGAGUAACACGUGAGUAACCUGCCCUUGACUUUGGGAUAACUUCAGGAAACUGGGGCUAAUACCGGAUAGGAGCUCCUGCUGCAUGGUGGGGGUUGGAAAGUUUCGGCGGUUGGGGAUGGACUCGCGGCUUAUCAGCUUGUUGGUGGGGUAGUGGCUUACCAAGGCUUUGACGGGUAGCCGGCCUGAGAGGGUGACCGGCCACAUUGGGACUGAGAUACGGCCCAGACGCCGACGGGAGGCAGCAGUGGGGAAUAUUGCACAAUGGGUGGAAGCCUGAUGCAGCAACGCCGUGUGCGGGAUGACGGCCUUCGGGUUGUAAACCGCUUUCGCUCAUGACGAAGCUUUGUGUGACGGUAGUGGGUAAAGAAGCACCGGCUAACUACGUG
rnacentral:rRNA from 1 species